UGCUCUUUGACCUUUGAUUAAAGGUAAGAAGAUAAACUUUAUGGGCCGAGUCAAGAAAUAACAUGACCGCAUGAGAUAGACAAUGAAUGCUGCCCAAUGUGUCCACCUGGUAAGAUCCAACUGGAGACUAAAAGUUUCCUCAUCGUUUCCUGAUGAUUAAUGUGUGAUCACAAGUGAAAACUGCUACUGAACAACUACAAUCGAUAUUUUUUUCAAAACUUGCCUUAAUCUGAUGUUGUAAUAAUAAUACCAGUUUAAGAGGCAACAGUGUAUGAAUCUUUAGAGCAGUGCUCUUUGACCUUUGAUUAAAGGUAAGAAGAUAAACUUUAUGGGCUGAGUCAAGAAAUAACAUGACCGCAGACCUUAUUCUUUCGGUUGCAUUUUUCUGGUUGUGGUCGUUGGUUUAGCGACGAUUACUUGGUUUCUUCUUCUUUUUUUUGUUGGAAUGUGGUUCCUACAUCGUCGCAUUAUGGCCUGUAUCAACGUUCACACUGCCACACCUUUGUGUUGAACUAAGGACAGCAACACAAGUAAAGGACGGACCUGCCUGAUGUUACACAAAGAUGCUGUUCUCAUGUUCAAACUCGUGUCAGCCCAGAUCUCAUUGAGGUGUCUUCAGUUCAAGACAAAAAAUGUUCCUGCUAUAUGACAAGACUUCAAGAAGAACAUCUUUGAGAACUUCAGCUUUUGUGAUAAUUGUGAUUAAAGUCUUGUCCUGUCAAACCUUCACAUGUCGUCCUGAAGAGUAUCAGAUAGACAAUGAAUGCUGCCCAAUGUGUCCACCUGGAAACAGAGUUAAAAUACAUUGUACAGAGUUCAGAAGCACAUC